CAAGAUAUUGUAGUGAAACAUCACAUACAACUGGUACCAAAGAAGAAAGGAAGGAAGAAUUUAUGGACUGUUACACAACUUGAGAAGGAAAUGGCAACCUACUCCAGUACUCUUGCCUGGAAAAUUCCAUGCAUGGAGGAGCCUGAUUCUGAUUGUGGUUCUGAGGUGGGGCCUGAGAGUCUGCAUUUCUACAAGCUCCCGGAGAUGCUGCUGGACCCUGACCACACACCUUAUGUCAAUCAUGCCUUUCAACGUCCCUUCAAGGAAAGCAUACUGUCCAUGUCUUACAGAUGAGAAAUGGGAGGUGAAGAGAAGGACCCACCGUCCCAGAGCAAGUCAAAGGAAAGGGUAUGAUGGUUACAAUAAAAAGCAGACACUUUGAUUGGCCGGCCGGAUGGCCCCUCUGCAUCCUGAGAAAUGACGUAAGCGCUGGGAAGAAAUUCCUCCGCCAGCAUUCUUACCUUUCCUGGCUGAGACCUGGGUUCGUCAUCACAACUAAUGACCCAACUUUUAUGGGAUUGUAAAAUGCAAGAUCUGAAAACAAACAAACUUCCCUGUG